ACAUUUUUGCUCACCACCAUUUAAUGUGGUGUAUGUUCACCACCUUAUUUAUCACCGUUAGAUGAAUUUUAAUUUUGAGAUUUGUUCAUGUCCACUACACGAAUCUCGAAAUUGAAACUCAUCUAAUGGUGAUAAAUAUGAUGGUAAGCAUACACCACACUAAAUAGUGGUGAGCAAAAUUGC
rnacentral:pre_miRNA from 1 species